UUAAGUUCAGCGGGUAGUCCUACUCGAUUUGAGGUCAAGUUGUCAGACAUUGUCCAAAGACAGUUUGAAAGCACAGAGCCCCCAAUUGGCCACCCUCUAAUGAGGUGCCGGCGAAGACACUUAUCACGCCGUACUAUGUCCAACCAAGAGGUACACUAACACAUUUCAGGUGAGCCACAAGGAAAGCAGCAAACACCCAA
rnacentral:misc_RNA from 1 species